GGAGGCCGGCGCGGAGCCCCGGGAACCCGAGUCCCGGCGGUGCCCUCCGGCCGCAUAGCCGGGCUCCGCGCUGCGGUCAGCGUCCUCGGACACCGCGGCCACGCUCCCUUCUCAGCGAUUCCGUCUGGGCGGCCGGAUGGGAGGAGAGGGCAGAUGCAGAAACUGAGGCACUGAGAGUGCCAGCAGUGGUUGGUGAUGGGAAUGUCCCCAAGGCAGAGGUGACUCAAGAUUCUUUCAUGAUGAGAGCUCCAUUGAAAGAAAGAAGAUGCACUGAGUAAGGAAACCAACAUUGAACACCUGCUCUGCCAGCUAACACAGAGAUGUGAAGGGGACCUCUAACAAGAUAUAGAUGCUGACAGAAUCAAUCUCUGGGCAGAAGACGUCCCUACAUUCCUUUUCAUUCCCUGCAGAGACAGCCUUGAAAGAGUUUUACCAGGAGAAACUACGAAGCAAUCAGGAUCCCAACAAUGCCUUGCUGUCCUGGAGGAGUAAGAAUGUGACCCGCACCCGAGCCACUUCGCUCUCAUCUUCACUCCAGCCGUUCUGAGGUCCUUCCUGCGCCCCACGUACUCCUGUGACACCCUUCCCACUUUCACCUGGCACGUGUCUAUUCAUCCGCUAAACCCAAUUUAGAUGGCACCUCUUCCGGGAAGCCCUCCCUUCUCUACUGAUUCUGAACCCUGUAAAUCCUUCCACUGUUGCCCUGAUCACUCUGAAUAAUGAGCGGCUUACAGGUCUGUCUCCCCCACGUGACUGAGUACCUUCUUUGAAUUUUAUUUUUUAAUGGAUGGGUUGAUGUCUUAUGGUCGCAUCUCCACUGCCUGGUGAAAGUAAGUGCUCACGAGAUGAAAUGAAAUGGAGUCUUGUUUCCCAAAGGGGCCUGAAUCCGGUUGGCCUGUGGAAUGCUCUCUGAGGUUAAAUCUGCGAAGUUACUUCCAUUUUGUUUCAUACGACAUUGAUAACCAUCGACAUCCGGCCCACGGCUGCGCCAGCAGCGCAGUGGCUGGUGGAAAACAGGUGAUGUCAGAGGCAGAGGCACACGUGUCCCCCACAGGCACCGGGCGGUGCUGGCACAGAUGGCAGGCUGUCAGUUCGUUCACCGUCUGACGCAUGAAGAAGAUCGCUGAUAACCAACCUAAACAAUGCCUCUGCCGCUCAGGAGACGUUGAUUUCGAUGAUAAUGAUGGACAGGGGAGGAGGUGGGUGGUGGAACUUGCACAGAAAGCAGUGAAGAGACUUGCCCGAAACCAGCCAGGGAGGGGCACGCCUGGGAACACGGCCCAGUGUUUCCAGCUCCCAAAUCUGGUUCCCUUAGAGAUCAAUCCCCCAAAAGGUUUCAUGGGUGUCUUAGCAUUCUAGAAGUUGGGGAACAACAGUAUAUUUAACUGAAUCUUAUUUAUCCUUCAAUUUCACCUUCUCCCUGCAACCUGUCCCAAUACCUCUCCUCUGGACUCUUAUGGGGUUCGAAAUCUAUAAAUAAACAACCAGCACUUAAUUACAGUGUGCUCCUUUGCUGCUUCCUGGACCUUGCUUCUUCAACUGGAUCAUAAAUUCCAUGAAGACAGGGCUCUAUUUUGUUCCAUGACUUCCUGUAGUGCCUAGGACGAGGCGUGGUUCACAAGAGAGAGACACUGAAUAUGUAUCUGUUGAUGCAGGCCAUAUAUGUGUGUACAUGUGUCUGGCAUUGCCGCCUCACUGGGAGAGCAUUCAUGGGCCAGGCCACCUCCAUCUGAAAAUCCUUCCACCUUGGAGGCAGGUCCCCCCAGAGGAAAUGAUGAAAUUUGCCCAGGAAUUUUUUUUU